rnacentral:rRNA from 1 species
UACGUAGGGGGCAAGCGUUGUCCGGAAUCAUUGGGCGUAAAGAGCGUGUAGGCGGUCCGGUAAGUCGGCUGUGAAAGUCCAGGGCUCAACCCUGGGAUGCCGGUCGAUACUGCCGGACUAGAGUUCGGAAGAGGCGAGUGGAAUUCCCGGUGUAGCGGUGAAAUGCGCAGAUAUCAGGAGGAACACCGGUGGCGAAGGCGGAUCUCUGGGCCUUACCUGACGCUGAGGCGCGAAAGCUAGGGGAGCGAACAGG